rnacentral:lncRNA from 1 species
CUACAAUUAGCAUGACUAACAUGCAACCACUUUAAACCACAUCUAGGCUUUGUGGCUACUAAAACACACGAUAGAAGAGAGAGACAUGUAAGCCAUUCUGGCUAUGUAAAGACUUCCCCCAAAAAUCCAUAUAAAAGUACCAAUAUUCAUUUCUUUGAGAACUGGUUUCUCAACAUAAACAAUCAUUCUUUGCAAAGAUAGUUGGAGCUAUCCACCAAUCGCUCAACAACUUAAAUUCAAAUUGAUGAUUACCUUGUACCCCAAAACACGCAAUUCACACUCCUCUUAGAAACAUCCUCAAUAAGGCAUAUAUAACAAUAUUAUUGUAAUAAAACUCAACCAUGAAAAACAUGGUGAAAACAAGAUAGGCAUACUUGUAUAUUACAAGCAUAAUAACAACUUAAUUCUCACAAAUGACCAGCGAUAUCUACAGCAUUAAACAAACAAUAUUAAAAUUUCAGAAAUAAAUUAUAUCAAGCAUUAAGCCAUAAACAACUUACCACAUCACCGUAAAGGAAUAGGGAGGGGUGAGGUUAUUGUCAUCUGCACUUCAAAGACACUAACAUAUAUCAAAGAUAUUUAAACCCAUACCCUUCCUAUAUGUGCGAGUGUGUCAAAUUUAUCUUCAAAUUGCCAAGAAUCUAAAGCCUAUCUUCUGAUACCAACUGUAACACCCCGGGAUCCUCAAACACCCAGAAUGCUACUAAACUACACAUCUAACAUUCAUAUAUAAAAUUUCGACAGCAUCCCCUUUGUAAAUUACAUAAACGGGGAAGCAACAAAAUACAAAUAGAUAUCAUGAUAUGAGAACAUAAUAGACAUUAAUAAUCUGCUAGCAAUGGAAAGACAAACAUAACGGCAUGAACUAAAUCAACCAGUGCGCACAACUAGUUAGAAACAACAUCCUUUGACAAGAAGUUUCUAAUUAAAUCAUGACUGCACCUAAGCAGCGUUAUUAUGAGAGUGAAGGUGGAUGUGCUGCUACUUCCCAGUUCCCUUGAUGAGCAACAAGCACCUGCAUUGAGUAAUGCAAGAGUGAGAUGAAACAUCUCAGCAAGCGAAUUGUUUUGACAAGAUAUUUAAACCACAAAUUGAAUUAAUCAACAUUUUAAAAGAAUCACAAUUAAGAUAAGAAAUUCCUGUAGAUAUAGAACUCAGUAGUCUCAAUAUAACCAAUACCAUCUCAUUUCCUUAAACAACCACAAUAGUUUGUAUAACUCUUCCCUGCGUCAACAAUACCUGCAAAUAUCCCUUCAAUAUAUGCAUAGGAACACAAAGUGUAGGUACUCUGUCUUCAUACCUCUGAGGGUAUAAAACCACAUCAUAUGCAAAUAUCACUUCAAUGAAUGCAUAUGAAUGCAAUGCAUAUGUCCUCUACCUUCAUACCUCUAAGGGUAUGAAGCCGCAUCGUACCCCUCCUCGGGCAACGUACGAUGCUAAGUUGUACCGGUACGGUCGGACCAUAGGUCACGACCCAACUUCAGAUGCAAGUGAAUCAUGCAAUGUAUAUGGCAUGCUGCAUUUAUCAAUAUACUUCACUUCCUUCACAUACAAUACAACCUCAAAUAAUACUUCAUUUACCUUCAGAUACAAUACCAACCUCAAAUAAUACUUCAUUUACCUUCAAAUACAAUACCAACCUCAAAUAAUACUUCAUUUACCUUCAGGGGUGUGAAUUAAUCUCAUGAGUCAUACUCGAAUCAUAAUCAUCAUCAAUAUAUGAUUGAGCAUCAGUAUAAUGCAAGCAAGUAAAGCAUCACCAUAGAGUCCAACUAUGAAAGAAUCCAAUACUUCUGAAUAUUAGAGUGUAGGCAAUAGAAAUAACAGGUCAGAACGGAAGCAACCACCGCUACAUUCACUUGCCUUCAUCAAAGAAGAAAAAUGUACUAGGCAUGAUCUGGAGUGUAGCCACCUGCUAGCGGGCAUAAAACUUAGUACAAAUAUUUCACAAACAUUUGCCAACAAUCAACAAAUCGAUCCUACACCUGAAACCAAGACCUGGUGGAAAACCUCCCACUCUGAACCACAUGCCAUACAACAGCAAUGUUGUUUGUUAAUUUUGUAUCUUUAGAAUUAUAACAGUGGUGAUAUCAAACAAAUACUCCAUGAGUAUCUACACAAAAUAUUCUACAACUUCGGUAUUCGAUGGAUAAUUAAAUUAUGCCAUCUAUAAGUUCUAAAACAUCUAACAAGAUAACUGACUGAAUCUGUUUUAGACAGCAGCAUAGUUAACUUUCAAAAUUCGAUAUCUCACAAACUACUCAACCAAAAAUCAUGAAAUUCUGCUGAAAGUAAGAACUUUUAUGCCUCUACAAAAGUCUCCAUAGCUGGGAGAGCCAAUUCGGCCAUUUACUUGAUGAAACCUACCAGUGAACAGACCCGCUCAUUUCUGGCAGGCUAACAGAAACAGCCACAGUAAAACAAACAUAACUGAAGUUUCAUAAUUCAUAUGAAUGCACUCUUUAACAAUCUGGAAAGCUUAUGAAAUUAUCUACAUCUUUUCUUACAAACCCAAGGUUUAAUUCUGUUGAUAAAAUUGCCUAAAUCUUAAGAGAACAGAUUCUGCACAGAAUUAAGAGACUGAAAAACUGCUAUAAUCAAACUGCAAUAACUCUCUGAUCUGAUGUCCGAUUGAGGUGUUCUUCGCGGCCACGGAAAGAUCUACAAAUUAUCUACGACUUAUAUAUAGACUUUUUAUUUUUUUGAGGCCUCUAAGACCACGGAAAACUGGGAUUAACAGAAACUGUCGAAUCUGCCAUUCUGCAGAAAACUAAAUUCGAGAUCAAAACAUAACCCCACAUCUAAUCCAACCUCUAAUCCUUUAAUUCCCAUGAUCCACAACCUCCAAAAGCACAUAAUUACAGGGAGGAACAAGGAUCUCAUCCAUACCUAGGGUUUCCCCAAGAAAUUUUUCAAGAAGAGAUGGGGAAGAACAUCUCCUUGAUCCUCUCUUCCCCUUCAACUCAAUAUUUGUGCUCCUCCUCUUCUCGAUCCUUGCUGCGCGGGGGGAGAUCUAGAGGGAGGAGGAAGCCGUGGAGAGGGGCUGCCAUGGGAGGAGAGGACAGCCAGCCCAAGGGAAAAGAAGAGAGGGGCGGCCAAGUGUGGGAGGGGGGGAAAG